UUUAAAAACUGAAGUAUUCCCUAUGUCAGUGACAGCUGAUGAAAAUGUCUUUUAAAUGUAGCAGCAGCAAAAUAUAAAUAGCUAAUAAUUGGCAUCAAAAGCAUGUAGCCCUAGUCAGUGGCAUGGUGGUUAUUAACCAGGCAAUUGGAAGGAGAACAGAGAGCCUACUACUAGAUCUUGUUAUGCUUGUAACCAUCUCCUGUCUGAAGUUUCUAGGAGACAUACAGGAAUGCUGUUCAUGGAAGCUUUUUGAGUGUACUAUGCAAGUUAAAAGCUUAGAUGGCAGUGGUAGAUGGGGAAGAAAAAUCCUUUCCUUUAGUCCUUCCUCGUAUCGCUUCAUCCACUGGAGGAGGAAACAAACCGUAAGUACCACAGUGUCGUAGCGUUGUCUGAAGGUACUUCAUGGUACAGAGUUGCAUACCAGGAUACUCAACAUUGACUGCUCUUAACAAGGUGUUGUGGCUUUGCUGUCACUUGGGUGGUAGGCUGCUUGAGGGAUCUGAGCAAGAAAUGGUUAGAACUGGCUUGAAAUUGCUCCCCAGUGCUUAAGCGUGGUAUUACACACCAUUCGUUUGGGUUUAGAAUGUAUUUUUGCUUGAAUAGCUGAUGCCACCACUUAACUCCAGGCUUAAAGUCAUACCAGAGAAUGGUAAUGUGAAAUCUCUUGUGUUAGGAACAUGAGCAGUAGUGAUGCUUCAGCUGGAACGUGUGGGGAAAGAGGACAGCUGUGGUUGUUGAGUUGUUAUUUGCAGUUGCCCAGAUGUGGUUUGUGCAGUAGUUGGUAGGUAGUUGGUAGUUGGUAUGAUCCAUGUGCGGUUUUCUCCAGCAGGUGUCACUGGCCAACCUUCAUGUUUGCUGAGGGUCAAAAGCAAUCCAUUAAUCCUCACGUUGAAGCAUUUGUGAGCACUUCUCCAAAAAACAAUGAAGAUUUAAGCUCAUUGAGAUGGUUCUUACAUAACGUGUCAGCUUGCUAAUUCUGUAUUUUAUCAAUUCUAAGCUUCUUGCAGAAACCCUGAGAUAUGUUGAGUUAGAAUGCCAGCUAAAAGGAACAACUGCAGCAAGGUUAGGAUUGUGCAAGCCUCAAAGAGCAUCCAGUUCUUUCUGAAGUAGUGAGGACGACUUCUGCUUGGGGGUGUGUGUUGGGAGAAGGAGUCCAGAAAUAACAUACCUAGGAACAGUGCUGUGAGA
rnacentral:lncRNA from 1 species